rnacentral:rRNA from 1 species
GUGGGGAAUAUUGGACAAUGGGGGGAACCCUGAUCCAGCCAUGCCGCGUGUGUGAAGAAGGCCUUUUGGUUGUAAAGCACUUUAAGCGAGGAGGAGGCUACCGAGAUUAAUACUCUUGGAUAGUGGACGUUACUCGCAGAAUAAGCACCGGCUAACUCUGUGCCAGCAGCCGCGGUAAUACAGAGGGUGCAAGCGUUAAUCGGAUCUACUGGGCGUAAAGCGCGCGUAGGUGGCCAAUUAAGUCAAAUGUGAAAUCCCCGAGCGUAACUUGGGAAUUGCAUUCGAUACUGGUUGGCUAGAGUAUGGGAGAGGAUGGUAGAAUUCCAGGUGUAGCGGUGAAAUGCGUAGAGAUCUGGAGGAAUACCGAUGGCGAAGGCAGCCAUCUGGCCUAAUACUGACACUGAGGUGCGAAAGCAUGGGGAGCAAACAGGAUUAGAUACCCGGGUAGUCC